rnacentral:sRNA from 1 species
GUCGGGUAUGGUAGUGCAUGCCUAUAAUCCCAGCACUCAGGAGGCUGAGGGAGGAGGAUCACUUGAGUCCAGGAGUUCUGGGCCAGCAUAGGCAACACAGCAAGACCCUGUCUCGA